GAUGAAGAACGUAGCGAAAUGCGAUAAUUAAUGUGAAUUGCAGAAUUCAGUGAAUCAUCGAGUCUUUGAACGCACAUUGCGCCCCCUGGUAUUCCGGGGGGCAUGCCUGUCCGAGCGUCAUUGCUGCCCUCAAGCACGGCUUGUGUGUUGGGCCUCCGUCCUCCUCCCGGGGGACGGGCCCGAAAGGCAGCGGCGGCACCGCGUCCGGUCCUCGAGCGUAUGGGGCUUCGUCACCCGCUCUUGUAGGCCCGGCCGGCGCUUGCCGACACAUCAAUCUUUUCUCCAGGUUGACCUCGGAUCAGGUAGGGAUACCCGCUGAACUUAAGCAUAUCAAUAAGCGGAGGA
rnacentral:misc_RNA from 1 species